CCUACGGGUGGCAGCAGUGAGGAAUAUUGGUCAAUGGGCGGAAGCCUGAACCAGCCAAGUCGCGUGCAGGAUGACGGCCCUACGGGUUGUAAACAGCUUUUAUACGGGAAUAACGCGCCUUACGUGUAGGGCUUUGCAUGUACCGUAUGAAUAAGGACAGGCUAAUUCCGGGCCAGCAGCCGCGGUAAUACGGAAGGUACGGGGGUUAUCCGGAUUUAUGGGGUUUAAAGGGAGCGGAGGGCGAGAGUCAAGGUAGAGGUGAAAUGUCCGGGCUCAACCCGGGCCUUGCAGCGGAAACUGGCGUGCUUGAGUCCGCGGAAGGGAGGCGGAAUU
rnacentral:rRNA from 1 species